UACAGAGGUCCCGAGCGUUGUUCGGAUUCAUUGGGCGUAAAGGGUGCGUAGGCGGUCUUCUAAGUUUGAUGUGAAAUCCCGGGGCUCAACCCUGGAAUUGCAUUGAAUACUGGAGGACUAGAGUACCGGAGAGGAAACUGGAAUUUACGGUGUAGCAGUGAAAUGCGUAGAGAUCGUAAGGAAGACCAGUGGCGAAGGCGGUCUGCUGGGGUGAUGCUGACACUGAUGCGCGACAGCGUGGGGAGCAAACAGG
rnacentral:rRNA from 1 species